AUGGGACAGCCACAGCUUCUCUGGACAGGAAUUUUCAAGGAACCAAAAAUCACAAGGCUUGCUUUGAAGUUGGAACUCUCUCACAUGAAUGGAAACAAGUUUCCAGCUAAGUGCAGGUGCCUGCCAUAUGAGGAGAACAAAUCCUGGGACCAUGAGGAGCAAUUUGAUGACUGCUGUGUGCUCUGUGCCCACAGUAGAUUCAUGUCAAGUGGGGGCCGGCCAGCUGAGAGAUCUGCUUUUGUUUUUCCUGUCCUUGAUUUGAUGAUUGAAGCUUUUCAAACAGAACUACAACACACGGCAAGCAUCCACGAUGAAUUUCUAGAUAAAUAAACACUUGGGCUGAGGUUAUUUUGAAGAACGACAGCGUCAGUGCCUCCAAAUGGGAAAUAAUAGAGUGAACUGAGCCCAGACAUUUCUUUCUUUUUUUCUAGAGUUGGAGAACUGCUAUCCCUCCUGUUAACCUGUGCCUCUCUGUUUCAUAGAUUUUCCUGGUGCUUCUGAAGCACUGGGAAAGACAAAGUUAGGGCUGGCUAAGGGUCAGUCCAGGUCCACCCUGAGAGAAAAGAGGCUCUUCCCAUUGCCACAUUGCCCAGAAGUGGGGUGAGGGUCACUCCAGGCCUGGCUACUCAUGGGUUGUGGGCUUGGGGAAGAUCAAUCCCUUGCAGAGAUGUCCACUCCAGGUGAUUGCUCAGCCUUUCCCAGCUGGGGAUGGCUCAGGAGACAUGCCAGAGGCAGCCUUGUGUUGCCUAAGCAUAGCUCUUGGCUCCAUUGCUUGCUCAUCUGUGGCUUUGCCUUCGCUCACUUGUUUCCUUAGAUGAGCUCCUCUGCCUGCUUAUUUGUGUUAGGAAAAUUAUCGUUCUUGUAUUUCGGUCUGUGUCGCUUCCUCUGGGCCUGUUUUGUUAUUGCACAGAGGGAUGUCUCUAAUGAAGUGGACGGAAGGAGGAGGACUCAGGGCUUAUUUUUAUCCUAUACAUAGGAAGUUGGCCAGAACAGGGAAAAACAGAGCAGAAAGCCCUCAGAGCAUUCCCACCCCUCAGGGCUGGAGACAGCAAUCUCCACAGACCUUGCUCAAAUGUUCCACCCCUGCCCAAGGGAACUUUCUCCACAGUUUUGCUUGUUUGUUGUUGAAAGGGAAAACGUGUAUUGCUUCCUGCCACAGGGCCAGGGCUAGCUGCUCUGCCACUACUGCCAUCCAAGCCUCUUUUAUUAAUGAAUUAAACCUCAUACCACCAGACUGACUAAAAAAAGAAAACUAAAAAGGGGGGGACUUGUGUAUGUGUGUUAGUAAUGUAACAGCACCUGGGGCCCUGAUGGGGCUGGCACUGACAUUGCACUUCUGUAAAGAUGGGAGGGCUGGUCUGAGGAGCCCCAAACACAAAACCAACAGACAGGAUCGGGGCAGCAACACAGGGCAGACAUACAGAAAUAUGCAGUGGUUUCUUUUGUGUCCGUGAUGUUCUCAGAAGACAAUGGAUUAUCCCAGACCUUGGAACAACCAGGGAUAGUGGAAGGUGUCCCUGCCCUUGGCAGGGGCUUUGAAUUAGAUGGUCUUUAAGGUCCCCUCCAUUUCAAACCAUUCUGUGAUUCUAUGAUUCCAUAAUUUUAUGAUUCUAUGAUUCUACAAUCAGUGAUCAUUAGAUCAUGCCAUUAGCCUAGAAAUUUUGGGGAAGCUGAAGCAUGUGUUUUAAGGCAAGAUAUUUGCCUUGUGUUCAUCCUCUCUUUGUCCCAUUUAAUCCCCUUUCCAGAAGACAAGUUUGAUUUUUUUCCCCAGUUCUAAUGUCCAAGGAGAGGGCCAAGAGAGCAGACAGUGGGAACCCUCCCACACAACUUCCCUGGCGCAGACCGGCAUCGCCACGGAGCAUCUCCCUCCUCUGCUGCUGCUCCUGCCACACAGCUGGGCUUCAAAGAGGAUGCUCCUCUCCCACGUGCUUCAAAGGGAAAGCAGGAGCCACAGAACAAUUACUCCCACUCACAGGGAGAGGGGAAAUCCUCUUCUAACAGGGGAUCAUCCUGUUACAAUGAGGAUGUCUGGUGAUUUAUGACAUGCUGCUUUAAACCCUCUUUCCCCUCCAAAGAAACACAGGAGACAGCAGAGCUGGAGGGAGAUAGGAGAGACCUGACAUUGGCAAUGCUUGAAAUACAGUGUGAGAGCUGGGAAAACCCUUCUCUGCUGGCCUCAUUAGCAUGACUUAAUUAAUAGUUAUAAUCUUAUCAAGCAGAGGUUGCCAUGCAAGAGGGAUGUGCAGGCCAGGAAUCAAAGCUUUAAUAAAUAGAUAUUUUAAGACCAAAAAACACCACUGUAAUUCUGUCUGGUUUCCUGUGUAAUUGAUGCCAGAAACAGACCUUUUCAACUGAAAAAAAAAAAAAAAAAGAAAAAAGUGGAUUUAAUGGGAAGGUAUUAGUAUUGUGAUAUUUUUGGGUAAUAAUUUUAACAAGAAAAAGCUGAGGGGUUUAUUUGCAAAAAAUCCAAAUUAUCUGUACUUGAUUGGCUUUCAAUUUCAUUUUAUGCUCUAAAUGCUCUGUAAAUCCCAAAGGCUGCAUGCUCUGUAGGGCUUAUGCAUCCAUUUUCUUAAUCUUUUUUUUUGGCAUUGAAUCCAAAUUUUAAAAGAAUAUUCUCAACCUGGGGCAAAGAAAACUUUCCUUUUUUGACACCAAAAAGCUUUUGCAACUCACAUUAAAUACUGCAAAAAUUAAUAUCUGUGCCAUCAAUUCUGUUAUUGUCUCUGACAUUUUUAUAGAGCUCCCUUCUCUUUUUCUUUGUGUUAGCCUUGGCCUGGGUCUUGGAAGUGGCGGCACCUCUUAAUCUCAAUAAAAUUUUGCUAUCUUGAGGUUUGAUAUGGCAAUAAGGGAAGCUCUCCUCACAGGAAUCAAGAGUAAACAGAAUAAACUCUGUCACCCAUGGAAGCUGAAUGACAGGAGAGCUUGAGUCAGGACCCAAAAAAAAGAAACAAUGAUCCAUUUAUUUCAGGUGUGAAGUGAAGAAGACAAAUCCACCUGAGGACCUACAAAGAAGCAAAAGACAAAGAAGAUUCAGACCAUGAUGUGGGCAGUGCAGUGUGGGGCACCCCAGAGGGAGAGACAGAAGCAGGACAGAUUAUCCAAAUUUCAACCAUACAUGGAGCAACUCAUACAAAUGUGAGCUUGCCCAAGUCCAGGUUAGAUUACUCCACACUCAUUCAUA